rnacentral:rRNA from 1 species
GAUGAACGCUGGCGGCGUGCUUAACACAUGCAAGUCGAACGGAAAGGCUCCUGCUUGCAGGGGUACUCGAGUGGCGAACGGGUGAGUAACACGUGGGUGAUCUGCCCUGCACUUCGGGAUAAGCCUGGGAAACUGGGUCUAAUACCGGAUAGGACCACACGUUGGAUGGUGUGGUGGAAAGUUUUUCGGUGUGGGAUGAGCUCGCGGCCUAUCAGCUUGUUGGUGGGGUAAUGGCCUACCAAGGCGUCGACGGGUAGCCGGCCUGAGAGGGUGUACGGCCACAUUGGGACUGAGAUACGGCCCAGACUCCUACGGGAGGCAGCAGUGGGGAAUAUUGCACAAUGGGCGCAAGCCUGAUGCAGCGACGCCGCGUGGGGGAUGACGGCCUUCGGGUUGUAAACUCCUUUCGCUAGGGACGAAGCGCAAGUGACGGUACCUGGAGAAGAAGCACCGGCUAACUACGUG